UUUUAUUUAUUUUUUUUGUCCACAAAAUUAAAAUACCAAAAAAUAUCAUAUAUGAGAAAUAUCCAUAUCCAUUCAUAUAUAAAAAACAUUUUUCAAAAUAUUUGUUAAUUUUAACCCCUUAAGGCCUUAAUUGUCUCAAGCAAAAAACAACCUAGAAUUUGUGAUCUGGGUUAGUUCCACUGUAAUUUAAGGUUUUUUUUCUUUGAUUGCCUGUAAACAUUUUAUAUGUUGAAUUUUAAAGGACAAAAUGGGCUUUCUUUUAAUAACCUAUAAGUAUACCUACCACAACAUAUAGUGUUAAUAAAAUGUAAAAAAUUGGUAAAAUACACAUUUUUACCUUUUUGCUUAUCAUGCUACUACUACUACUAAUUUUUACACAUCCAAUGCAACUAAAUAAACAGAACGAAAAAUAGAUUCACAUUUCAGUCCUGAUUGUUAAAUGCCUAAUAGGUCUAGGAUCUCAAUACAUUUUUGGCUGUUAAUGCUAACCCUAUACCAACCACUUCCUAAUGCUAUACCAACCAUACCCCUUGUAUAUGUUCGCUAAUCAUAUACCCACCAUAGCUUACCCUUAACCCUACACUAGCGGUAGCCCUAACAUUUGUCGCAGCUCCCUUAGGAGGUUGGCGAUGUCUUGUUUGGUGGCAGGAGCAUGGGGGUCCUGUUCAGUCAGUGCCUCCAGGAAGGUCGUGGGAGCAUCGGCGUUGCCGGUUGCGUUUAGGGUGGCUGGCGGUUUUGCUUUGUGCAUGCCAGUGUCUAGCUGGGCCGCCAUCUUGGGUGUCAUCGGGCACUGUAACAUCGCCUCUAUAUCAUGGGAGUCCUUGCUGGGGCCAGCCUGAGGUUUUUGGGUCCUGCGCCCCAUGAUGUCUGUGUGUUUGGAGGCCUGUCAGGUAACCAGGGGGAGCUAUAGAACUCUAACAGUUCGUCUUCCAAGCCCCGUGCAUCUGCCCGCGUGGUCUUGUACCCAGGGUAGGCCCCGGAUUUGCGCCCGGUUUUCCCACCCGAUUUCGGGUACAGGAAAGGCAUGUGCCUAUUGCUCACCCUUUCUGGGGUAUGGUGAGUGCCUUCCGGGGUUCUGAUGCCCGCGGGGUAUCCCUUAUUUUGGCGUUUGUUGCGGUCGGCGCCUGGAGCUCCCAGCAGAUGCAUCCGUUCGCCGUG